AUCACUCAGGAUCUUGUUAAAAUGCAGACUCUGAUCCAGUAAGGCCUGGGCCUGAGACUCUGCAUUUCUGACAAGCUCCCCAGGUGAAGCCAG
rnacentral:pre_miRNA from 1 species